rnacentral:lncRNA from 1 species
AAUGAGUUGAAAGUCUGGCUUCAGCCCAGUGAUUAGGGAAGUACCUUAAGUGGUUAUGAUAUGAUAUCAUGUUCCUCUGGCAGUGGGGUCGAGGAAAGUGGAUCUCGUCCAUGUGGUGUCUACAAACAGUUAUGCUAGGCCACUGUCUACACUGCACAUACCUCUUUUUGUUGUACCAUAGUCUUCAUCGUAAGAAAGUGAGAACACACAAACACUGUCUCUCUCUCUCUCGCAAGUAUCCAGUGGCAUCUCUAGAGAUUUAUUUCAAGGCAAUAUUCAUUGUUGUUUUCCCUACAGCGUGUUGUGAUCGGAACUGAAAGAAAGUAUACGAACUUUCCUGAAACGAAAA